rnacentral:rRNA from 1 species
UACGAAGGGUGCAAACGUUGCUCGGAAUUAUUGGGCGUAAAGCGCACGUAGGCGGUCUGUCGCGUCGGCUGUGAAAAACUCGGGGCUCAACUCCGAGCUUGCAGUCGAUACGGGCAGGCUAGAGUUCGGCAGGGGGAGACUGGAAUUCCUGGUGUAGCGGUGAAAAUGCGCAGAUAUCAGGAGGAACACCGGUGGCGAAGGCGGGUCUCUGGGCCGAUACUGACGCUGAGGAGCGAAAGCGUGGGGGAGCGAACAGG